rnacentral:tRNA from 1 species
AAAGUUUCCAAUAUUAAGCUUCUAACUUAAUUAAAGCAAAUAAUUUGUUAAACUUUU